GUUAUAGGGUUUAGUGCCAGCCCUACUUAUCACCAAAUAACAAACAUCCAUAACAAACCCACCGAGGCUUGUAAGCUUUUUCAGAGGCAAACACAAUCCUACACAAAUGCUAAUACAGCAUGGAUAUUAACAACAUAACAACCUCCAAUAAGCAUAAUUCCAAAAAUAAAUCAACAGGUGGCAGGGGCAGGAAAAAUUACUUGACUGAAAUGAAGACCAAUGAGAUGGCCAAGGCAAAUCAGUGAAAAUUUAGUUCAAUGAGAACUCAAUAUAUUCGAUCAGUCAAUAACAAAUGGGCAAAAAAUCCAGACAGAGAUUAAUAAGGAGGCAAAAUAAUGUUCAUCCAGCAUUCUAAAUAAACACUACUCAAAACGCAAAAGCACAUAACAAGUUUAAACU
rnacentral:misc_RNA from 1 species